GGCCUUUGGGAGGUAAUUCUAUUUAGAUGAAGACAUUGAGUUGGUCCCUCCAAGGUGGGAUUAGUGUCCUUACAAGAAAAGAAAGAGAGCAGAGCUUCCUCUCUACCAUAUGAGGAUACAUCAAAAGAAGAACCAUCUGCAAGUCAGGAAGAGGGACUUCACCAAGAACUGGAUCUGCCUGUACCUUGAUCUUGGACUUCUCAGUUUCCAGAACUCUAGAGAACCUCCAUAAACUACCACCAAAAUCCUGGAUCUGUUUCCCAGCAUGAAUUAAUCUUCCCAUGUUUUCAUUACAUUUGAACGUCAGCAAUGUGUAGACAGAAGUAGUUCAUCCUGGGAGGUGAGAAUGAGCUUUGAGAGAAAGCCAUCAGUGAAGCCGAAGGCUGGGAAAAAAAGUGAAGCAGCAUAUGGAACUGUUCAUCUCUGGGGCAGGGAGAAAUCAUCCAGAGAAGAGGAAUCACACCUCAUUUAUAACCUGUGCUGUAGGAAUUUUCCAAGGCUACAGGUCUGGCCUCAACAAGUUGCCUACAAUGUCAGUCUCUCAUUCUCCAGUGAGUCACUCUCAUCAGCAAUGCAAACCCAAUUCAGAAGCAUCAAAAGCCCAAAGAUUAGUCAAUGCCUGUAUUCAUUUGGGAGGGCUUCCCUGAUAAAGACCCAUAAUGCCUGGGUGACUUAA
rnacentral:lncRNA from 13 species